rnacentral:tRNA from 1 species
UGAGGUGGAGCUCAGUGGUUGAGGACUUGCCUGACAUGCAGGAGGCCCUGGGUUCCUUUCCUAGCACUGCAA